rnacentral:lncRNA from 1 species
UGGAGAAGCAUAAACUCCGAAAUAACUGGCUAAGGAAAAUGGGGAUGCACAGACUGUGGCAUAGAAGCACUGAAGAGGAGAGGCAUGGAUUGGAAUGAUACAGGCUGUGUCAAUAUAGGGUCCAUCACAAACAAGCUAUGUAAAUAUUUGGAAUGUGCAUGCACAGAUUGUGGAUAGAUAGACUGCCACCCUCGUCAUUGCAGAAGGAAACUGUGGAGUCGCG